rnacentral:sRNA from 1 species
ACUCAGCCGCUUCUCAUCCACUCACCACCCCCUCUGCUAUGGUUCCCUGACAACUAAGACCCUGAGGCAACCACAAGACCGACACCAGAUCUGCUGCAGCCUCAGAAUAAAGCCUGGUCCAAAACGCUUCUGUCCUCACCGGUUGCUUCAAGUCAAAGGGAUUUUCUCUCCCCUAAAGAAGCGCUCUGCUUCCUGACAAAGAUCCAGGAGAGCACUGAAAGAAAAAGAGCUGGGGAACGAUGCCUACAAGAAGAAAGACUUUGACACAGCCUUGAAGCAUUACGACAAAGCCAAGGAGCUGGACCCCACCAACAUGACUUACAUUACCAAUCAAGCAGCGGUAUACUUUGAAAAGGGCGACUACAAUAAGUGCCGGGAGCUUUGUGAGAAGGCCAUUGAAGUGGGGAGAGAAAACCGAGAAGACUAUCGACAGAUUGCCAAAGCGUAUGCUCGAAUUGGCAACUCCUACUUCAAAGAAGAAAAGUACAAGGAUGCCAUCCAUUUCUAUAACAAGUCUCUGGCAGAACACCGAACCCCAGAUGUGCUCAAGAAAUGCCAGCAG